rnacentral:lncRNA from 1 species
AGAGGCGGACAUUGUUGGAUGCACCGUCUGCCCCGCGUCCGGAGAGGAGAGCACGAGGUGGGGGCCGGGGCUUUGGAAGCUUGUUCCCAAAAGGGUAGGCGUGGUGGCAGGGGCCAUGUGAGGGUAGGAGGUGCCAUGGCUGUGAUCGCCUGGGGACAUAGGAGAGGCCACCAGGGUUGGGGUGACGGUAGGCUGAAAAGUGAGGUGUCGAGACUCACCCAGUCACCGCCCCCUGCCUCCUAGCCCAGAGCAGGCCCAGACCCUGGGACAGGACUCCUUGGGCCCUCCUGAGCACUUCCAGGGUGGGCCAAGGGGCAAUGAGCCUGCCGCUCACCCCCCGAGAUGGUCAACACCCUCUUCCUACGAGGACCCAGCUGGGGGCAAACACUGUGAGGAAGCAGACACCUCUCACUCCCGACAGGACAUGCUGGAGUCUGGCCUCGGCCACCAGAAACGCUUAGCACGUCACCAAAGACACUCCCUGCUCCGGAAGCCUCAGGGCCCCCGAUCCUGCAUCCAGGCAGCCUCUGACCUUCCUCCUUAUCCUCUUCCUCCUCUUCCUCCUCCUGGUGGGUGCCAUGUUUCUCCUGCCCGCGUCAGGAGGCCCCUGCUGCUCUCAUGCCCGAAUACCCAGGACACCCUACCUGGUGCUCAGCUAUGUCAAUGGUCUUCCCCCAGUCUGAUGUGUGUAAUAAAUGGUCACUGUCAAAGGA